UACGAAGGGGGCUAGCGUUGCUCGGAAUCACUGGGCGUAAAGGGUGCGUAGGCGGGUCUUUAAGUCAGGGGUGAAAUCCUGGAGCUCAACUCCAGAACUGUCUUUGAUACUGAGGAUCUUGAGUUCGGGAGAGGUGAGUGGAACUGCGAGUGUAGAGGUGAAAUUCGUAGAUAUUCGCAAGAACACCAGUGGCGAAGGCGGCUCACUGGCCCGAUACUGACGCUGAGGCACGAAAGCGUGGGGAGCAAACAGG
rnacentral:rRNA from 1 species